ensembl:lncRNA
GUCCUACAUCCGGGUGCUGAGCGCCUCCUGGGGCAGGGGGCCGCCCUUCCUCCUGCAGGGCCCUGCAGCACCGACAGGACCCUGCUGCGGGGUCCCUGCUGGGCUAGGCGAGCCUGAGCGCUUCCGCAGCCUCAUCUGGAGAGAACGAGUAAAAAUAGUAAGUGGUUCCCCUGGCAACCAGCACAGCAACCGGUAACCAGGAAGGGCCCCUAGAGCCAGGAGGGACACGGACGCUGCUGGCCCUGGUGGCUCAGGUGCCGUUAGAGGGGCCUCUCCCGGCCUGUGGCUCCCUGCGGCCCCGCUCUGCUCGCCUCCUGUGCUCUGCGCCUGCUCUGCCCUGGGUCCAGCGAGCCUGCCGCCCCCUGGCUGGCGAUCCCAGUGGCCUGAGAGCGGGCAGGGUGUCGCCAGCUCCGGGUGUUUCCCUCGUGUGCGAGGAAACAUAUCCAGGACAAAGUGGACAAAGUGGGUCGCAGGAAGAAAGAGUGACAGGCCAGGGGGCCCUCUGGUAACAGGUGCAGGAGCAGGGAUUCCACGUCUUCCUUCCAUCCUGGUCCCUUUCCAUUCCGCCUCACCAUAGCGGAAAGGGUGGGGGGGUCUUCCCGGGGACCCCACCCUGGGUCAGUGGCAGGAGGAUGCGCCCACUGGGCUGGUGGCAGAGAUUCGGAAAUCCUGGGCAGGAAUGUAGCGCCUGAAUCUCCCUUUCGAGAGUCUAUUUCUUUUCUUUCCACAGCUUCUUCUACCCCGCCCCCCCCCCCACUAGGGAACUGAACCCAGGGCCUUUGCACGGGGCUGCAGCCCCAGGCUUUUUUGUGUCUUCAUUUUGAGAUGGGAGGGGUCUUACCAAGUCACCCAGGCUGGGAUCAAAUUUGUGAUCUUCCUGUCUCAGUCUCCCAGCGUGCUGGAAUCAUAGGUGUGGGCCAGCCACCACGUGUGGAUUAGUUUCCUUUUUAUUAAACAAAUAUUUGUUCUGCUCUAGUGUUCUCUGGAGACUGACUGUCCUUGGGGAAACCCCAGGACUCAGGAUGUGAGGUUCAGACUCAGGCUACUGGGCCCGAGGCAUCACCCGGAAGGGGGCAGUGGGAACCGGGCGCACGGGGGAGCUGAGAAGCCCCAGGGGCAGCGCCAGGCACCCCAGAGCCCAUUGCUCCCCGCCCCACUUAGCCGUGACGUCCCCUUAACCGUCAGCCCCACCCUCUUACCAGGCCUUGUAGUCAGGUAGUUUCCCCUGCUCAACAAAUCAUGGGCGCCACGGGCUGGAACGAGCCCUGAGCUAGGUCCCAACCAAAAUGGAGUCACUCGUGCUAAGUAAGCUCCCGGGCACCAAGCGAGGCCCAGGAGGUCCACAUGUGGAGAAGUCAGGAGCUCAGUGGCAGCCAGAUCCCAGGAAGGGCAGCGGCUUGGAACCGCCUUUUGCUCCCGCCGGCUGCUCCUCAGCCCUUUGCAACUGUGAAGCCGCGCUCUCAGCGGGUCUCGGGCUGUUGCAUACACUGGAUGCUGCCUGGUUCUUGCACUGCUACUGAAAGCGAAUGAGGUCUGUAAAGCCCAACUUGUUAACAUUUUAUUCUUUGAUGCUUUCCGCACUUUAUGACUGACAGCUGAUGUCACGUAUCCAUUAAUUAAACAGCCAAAUGCAUAUUUCUCGGGCCUACUGUGUAUCCAGUACCCAGCUGAGUCCUGGGGGACGGAGGGGGAGAAUCAGGAAAACAAAGGCAGGAACUCCCCGCCCCCGGGAUUGAACCGGGGUCCUUGGCACCAAGCUACAUCUCCAGCCCUUGUUUUAGUUUCCCCGCGGGAUCCUGAGAUCAGCAGCACGGGACGACGGCGCCCCCUGGCGGCAGGUCGGAUCUCCGUAUGCUCUAGGCCUGGCCGGGCAGGCGGGCGGCGUGGGCCUCGCAGCGACGUGUUGGAAGGAACGCUGCUUCCAGGGUCAGGAGCCUGGGCGGGAAGCGCUAAGGUAAUAGCGACGGUAAUAGCCACCUCCUCCAGGGCGCUCCCGGUCGGGCGUGGCCCCCGGAGCUUUACCUGUGUGGCUGACUUGGAUCCCCAGCAGGCCCGCCAGGGCGAUGUUACCCCCUCGGAAGCGAGGCCGAGCGCGCAGGGCUCUUUCCCAAGGUCACGCAGCGCACAAUGCCUGGACGUGGGGUCGUAUUGCGGGAGACCUCGCGCUACACCGAACUGAAGAAUCGGAAACUGGUGGUGGGGUCCGGGAACUGGUGCUUUCACACGAUCCCCAGCCCAAGAUUGGUAGCUGUCAUCCCAGUACUCAGGAGGCCAAGGCAGGAGGAUGGAUGCAAAUUUAAGGCCAGUGCUAUGUAGCAGGUUCAAGGCCAGCCUGAACGACACAGCGAGACCCUGUUUCAAAACAAAAGCAAAAACAGAAACAGAUUUGGGACUGGCAGUUCCCAAGCCCUGGCCCUUCCUGUAGGAGGGGCUGGAGGAGGCUGGGAGGCUGGCGCAGGUGACCUGCUCCCCUGGGUCCUGCCUGUUCCUGCAGCAGAAGCGGUUCACAGGAUUCCCACACCGGAAGAGCCAACUUCAUCACCCCUACCUAGAAAGUUUGGUGGCUGCCACAUCCCAAGGGAGAAGGCCAGGGAGGAGAAAGUGACAGUGGCAGCCCCUCUAGCACACAGCUCCCAUGCCUAUGACCCUGCGGUCUGCACCUCUUCUGGCCUGACUUGCCGCCCCCCCACCCCCACCCCAUGACCCCAGGAGGAGGCCUGGGGCCUGGCCCAGUGUGAGCAGGGCUGGGCCAGCUGGGCAGACAGAGGAGAGGAACUCAGGUUGGAGACACCAGGCCUGGAGAGACCUUCUGUUGCCCACUCGUGUCUCCCCACUGAUUAAACCUCUUCUCGGAGUGUUCAGGGGAACCCAAGAAAGGGAAGGAAAGACAAGGGGCCCAGCCCUGGCUGAGGACCGCCAUGCGGCAGGACAGCACGGGGACCCUGCAGGUCCGUGUGCCCUCAGGGCCCGCUUGGCCGCUCCUGUGGGCUCUCGGGUGGGAGCAGGCAGCCGCAGGCAGGAUCGAGACAGCCCCUGCUGUCCUUCAUGUUCGUUUUGUGUUCAGGGAAACCCCAUGGCAUUCUGGUUCCUGUUUUGAUGGUUUUUAGAGCUUUUCUGAGGCACAGCUGAUACAGUCGCACUGCUUUUCAGUGUGGACCCUGGUGACUCAGUUCCCACACUCACAGGACUGAACUUAUGGAUCACCUCCAAGAAUUUCCCCGCAUAUGUGCGCGCGCAUGUGUGUGUGUACCCAUGCGUGUUUCCGUGUAAGAACACAACAGAUUUUAAACCGUUUAAAGGGGCACAGCCCUGUUGUCACCAACAGGCCCCAUGUUGUGCUGCUGCAGAUUUCUCCACCUCCCCAACUCCCGGCAGCCCCUGUCCUCGCCCCUGCCUCUGUGUGACCGACUCUUGGAUCCCCGUACAAGUGGCAUCGUGCGGUAAUUUAAUUGUCCUCUGCAUCUGGCUCAUGUCACUGAGCGGAAGGACCUCUAGGUUUUCCACUUUGUUGCGGUUGGCAGGAUCCCUUCUUUUUUAGGGAACGAUGCCCCCUUGUAUGUAUGCACCGCGCUUUCUUUAUCCAUUCAUCUGCUGCUGGACACGUGGGUCACGUCCAUAUCUUGCUUAUUGUGAAUAUGGAAAAAUACAGUUUCAGUACACGAAGACACACUGCAAUGUACUCUGUUGACAGAAGGGAUAGCUGUGGCCGGGGAUUUAGCUCAGUGGUUUCGCCGCCUGCUGCGCAAGCACAAGGACCCAAGUCCUGCCCGAGGACCCCUCUUCCACCGCCCCAGCUUCACGGGGGUCCUGUCCCCUCCCCGACACCGGGUUCCGGUUCAUACCGGUUCAUACCGGUUCAUACCACUUCACAGCAGAUUCUGCUCUGCUGGGGACUGGACACGACCUGCUUUCCUGGCUCUCUCUGCACCACCUCGAACCUCGUUGGUGGCCAGCACCAGCAGUUGUCCUGUGACUCUGUACCACCCUCGCUCUGAGCAGGGCCCUGGGCAUGGUCCGAGGAAGCGCCCUGCGGGUCUCGGGUCUUGGGAGCAAGCGCCUUCCUCACCUGCCCAUGAGUCUGAGGCGACGCCGCAGUGCAGCAGCUGGCGGCCUUCACUGUCGCCUCCACCUGGGCACAAGGUGCCAGCGCCAGGCGAGAAGAGGCUGAGCUGUGACCGGCACCAGGUGCCCUCUGAGCUCUCGUCCUCCUGUGUCCCCGCUGCUUUCGCCCAAGGCCACCCGCCCGCCCUCUUGGGAUGAGUCCUUUCUGAGAAGACGCCUCAGUCCCUGUCCCGUGGGCCCGAGGUCCCGGCCCACAGGACGCGUCUGUAUCCAAAUCAAGGCGCACAGUGCGUCUUACCAGGAGCCUUCAGGCCACACCUGACUGACCUCUCCAGUUUCGGUUUAUUUGGUGAAGUUAUUUGGUUAAAAGAAAACAGAAAACAAGAAAGCAAAUAAAUGGGAAAAAAUGC